UGUCACUAACUGAGUACCUUGGUUUGGGAGUAUCUGCUUUGGGACCCCUGCAAUCUGAUUUCCUGAGAUGCCAUGAGCCCAUUGCUGCUUCCAGUGGGAGCUGAGGUUUCCCAGCCCUGCUGAAAAUCAGGUCCUAGGCUCCUUCAGGCCAGCACCAAGGAGUCUCAGGUUUUCAAAGUUAACAGUUGCCUCUAAAUAUAAAACAACAGCAAAGCUAUAAUGGAAGUGGGAAAAAAAUCCAUACCUUUUGCCUUCCUAAUAUGUUAUACCUGAUGCUCACUGCAGAAGGGUUAGAGAUCUGACCCUUUGGACAUGGUUAGUAAGGGAGAGGUCCACUGGUCCCAGUGAUUUCUGGUUAUUUAGGAAAAAGGGAAAUUAAUGUGAGUUUUCCUUCAGCCUAUUAAUUCUGCACCCCCAUCACAGACAUUAAUUCAAACAUAAAACCUGAGCCUGGGUUUGAGCCUCCCCUGUGCUCAAAGCAGUCCAUGCCCAGGGUUCUUGUUCAGGCCCAUUUGUUACCUGCGUGACAUUCACCCAUCAUCCUGAUUGUAAUGGUGAGAGGGGGAAAACGUUCUCCUGGCUACUGAGAAGAAAAAUGACCUUACAUAGAAUUUAUAAUCUCCCUCAUCUGAGCUAAUUAUUCAGGAAAGGGUAUUUUUCACUGCAAGAAGCCCAGGCAAGCAGAUUCCAUUCAUAACUCAAAUACCAAACAGCUUGAACACCUUUGGGUUUAGUGGCUGAUUUUAUAAAUAUUAAGGGGGGGGGGGGGUAGGUUUGUUAUUUUAUGGUGUUUUGUCAGUGCUCUUUCCCUUCGGGCAGAAAGCUGCUCCCUCUUCGUCACAGCCUCGAUAAUGAAUUGCAGUGUACAAAGCCGGUCAUACAAUACGCAGCGGCGGCAGCGCGGAGCGAGAAUCUUUGGGAAGAGUUUCCAUAGAAACAUUGACGUCCUCCUGGCGAACAGGACACCGAGUUCCUUCAAUGGGAGAUGAAGACACUGGCCUCAAGGAUUGUCCACCCUUCCUUGGGCUGUGGUUCCUCCAUGCUGCAUUGGUCUAUGGCCCCAUGUUCUCACUAAGCUCAGCAGCAAGACUCUUCUCACUCUGCAGAAAGGCUGCUCGUACUCACGAUCCAGAGCACGUGGCUAUGCAACCACCAAAACCCCAGGGAAAACCGUUUCUAGGAGGGCCUGAGCUAAAUACAGCCUCUCUUAGACUGCAGACUCACUGGUGGCCGGCAGAGUCCCCCAGAGGAGACAACAGAGCUGGUUUGAGCCUUGGCACCUGUGAAGCUGGCUGGCUUGGGGCAUGAGUGGAGGAACACAGAGGAACUCGUUGCUUCUACAGCACUCCUGUGCAACUCAGCAGCACAAAUUAGGUUUGUGAAGCUCCUCACGAAAUCUCACCUGGAAACAUUCAUCUACGGUGUUAUGCAGCUUUCCCCACUUCAAAGGGAAACGUGGUGCUGCUGCUACCCCAGUUAGAGCAGCACCGAGCACUGGGACAUGUUGAACUGUGUUCACUGACACAGCCAAUGUUAUCUGUCAGCCUGCUCAGUGUUCCUUGUACCAGGGAGAUUUCUAAGUUCUAAUUUAAAUAAACA